rnacentral:rRNA from 1 species
AUGGCAAAUACUGUACCAUUUCUGUUCUUUGUUUCUAUUGCCAUGAGGAGCUUCCGGAGCCUCGAGUUUUAUCAAGGGAAGUUGUCAUGGGAUCCAGGCAUCUGGGCCCUUCUCUAUUUCUACUUAGACAAUGUCUGUGUCGACCGACCCUACUACCUCGAUGCAUUUUGUGACCAAGUGAACAUCAGCAAUGACUACUUCCUUGAGCAAGUCGGCGUUGUCUGCUCCCUCAAUCUCGCCAAGUUCCGCCUCAACUACGGUACCCACCGCGACCUCGGCGAAGUCAUGAAGCAUCAAGUAACAUGGGAUCCAGGAGGUUUGACAUGGCAUUGGCUUGAGGUCAAGCCAGAUUUUAAGGAAGGGAGAAUGUUAGCGACUGACCCUACUCUCGUCAUGCGCUGGACCAUUGGGCGCGCCUAUUGGGCCUGGGCUGCUGGAAGGCAACGGAAGGCAUCGACUACAAAUACAAGUGAACAGGCUACAAACUACUCGACUAGGAACUAG